CCUACGGGAGGCAGCAGUAAGGAAUAUUGCGCAAUGGGCGAAAGCCUGACGCAGCAACGCCGCGUGCGGGAUGAAGGCCCUCGGGUUGUAAACCGCUUUCAGUAGGGAAGAAAAUGACGGUACCUACAGAAGAAGCCCCGGCCAACUACGUGCCAGCAGCCGCGGUAAU
rnacentral:rRNA from 1 species